AGUAAUUAGUGACGUAACAAGUCAUAACGACAAUGGCGGAAAGAUGGUAGAGGAUUAAAUCAUUAGAAUCGAAGUAGAUAAGUGCCUUCAAUACGGAUUUAAUAUCAUUUCUUAUGUAAUUAAAACAGAAUUAUAGAUACAAUACUUCUCGUAUUAAUUAAAAAAAAAAACAGGUGACAUGUAAAAAAAGGCGUAGACUCACCCUCCUCAACACCAUUUUUGUUUCGAUAAUUCGUCAUCGACCAACCUGUAUUCGUCGUUAAAAGAAAGAUUGCCUGAACUUCCUUACUCAGUGAGAAGGAUGGAUGCAGAGAGAUGACAUCUGAAUUAACUUUGAGACAUCCCCAAAAAAGCAUUCAAUAACACACAGUACAGUGGGGAAACUGCUUCAGAAACCAAUCCUGCUUUCCAAAAUUUAUGACAAGUUUAGAAGUGGUUGUCUGCUAGUAUGGAGACUAUUUGAACAUAUUUUGCAAAGGUAAUGUUCAUUAGUAUUAGUGUUAAUGUGUUCUUGCUCGUUUUCUCUCCAUUGGUUCCAGUUUUUAUGCAUACUUUGUAAAAGGGAGGAGCCAGGGAAGUUCUCAUUUAUGUCAAACAUAAAAAAUAAGAAUGCAGUUCCUUAAACCACACACAAACCUAUAUAAUAUUGAUUAAAAAUUUGAAGUGCAAUAUGCUUAAACAGCAUUGUUGUAUUAUAAUCUUUUAAUUAUAUUCAUGUAUCUCAAAGGAACAAAAAUCAUACUGAAAGAAUAUUGCAAUGUUCGUGCAGAACAGAUUUUAUUUUUAUACUUAAGUGAAUUAAUAAUUUAUUAUAAAACAGGAAUUGGAAUGACAAACAUGAAUUUUAUAACAUCAGCUCUGCAGAAUGUUUUCUCUUUUGCUUCAGAAGCACUAAUGUCACAAACCAGAGUUGUAUCAUUAGACACUAACCAGUAAGUUAAAUAUAAAACUGUAACAAACACGGAUAAUGUUAAGUAGUUAACUGUUACAUUAGCAAGGUUGAGGCCAAAAUUUUCAUCUCUAAAACGUGAACAUCGAGCACCACUAUUUUGUAAGCAGCGGUCAACGUUCAUGUUAUAGAGAUGAAAACCACAACCUUGCUAUUAUUUGAAUUCUAAAAUAAUUUUUAAUGCACUAGUUUGGCCAUUGCCAUAAAUAAAUUAUGAACAUCUGUAUUUGCAAAUAAGAUAUUUAGAAUCUAUAUGGUACUGAGUUUAUUAGAAUUUGAACACAGAAAAAAGUGGGAAAUGCUCAAACUUCCCCUGGAAUAAGAAACAUCAUAAAAAUAAAUACAAGAUUUCUCUCCAACUCUAACCACAAACAGUGCAAUUUGGACUGAGAAAAGUAAUUGAGUUGCAGUUUGGCAAAGUAUUAAGUUUUCCAAAACAUUUAUGUCAAGUCCUAAUUGUGUAUCUGUUUUUGUUUGAGAAGCAAUUCAAGGGAUUUGUACUAGGAGUAAUCCCUUCUCUUCAAAUCUUAAAAAUA